rnacentral:tRNA from 1 species
GGAAGCAUAGCUCAGUUGGUUCAGAGCAUCUGCCUUACAAGCAGAGGGUCGCUGGUUCGAAUCCGGCUGCUUCCA